UGUCUGAACUGGCUAUUGGCCACCAUACUUCUAUUAUGAAAAUCUAACUCCAAAAGGUAUUUGGAAAACUAUUUCAAGAUUUUUUUUAUGAUGUUCCGCCAGAGUUUGUGGACUCGAAGUUCUUCUGUUCUCUGUUCUCUGGUAUUGGAGGAGCGAAGGUAUUACAUCUAUUGCCGGUCCAUUUGCAUCGUAUUACGUGAAAAAUUGGACAUAAAGCUUCGUAUUAGAUAAAGAACUUGAUCAAUUUUAGGUAGAGGAAAGAUAGAGUAAAUGUGUUUAUAAUAUUUAAUCCUCGUUCUAAAAGAUCAACAAGUACUCUAUUUUGUAACAUAAAACUCAUUCUAAAAAACUCUCCAUUCUACUCACUCUAAAAAACUCUCCAUUCUCCUCGUUCUAAAAGAUCAACAAGCUAGUACUCCAUUUGUAACAUAAAACUCAUUUAAAAAACUUCCCAUUCACCUCACUCGAAAAAACUCUCCAUUCUCCUCGUUCUAAAAGAUCAACAAGGUAGUACUCCAUUUGUAACAUAAAACUCAUUUAAAAAACUCCCCAUUCACCUCACUCUAAAAAACUCUCCAUUCUUCUCGUUCUAAAAGAUCAACAAGUACUCCAUUUGUAACAUAAAACUCAUUCUAAAAAACUCUCCAUUCUCCUCAUUCUAAAAGAUCAACAAGCCAGUACUCCAUUUGUAACAUAAAACUCAUUCUAAAAAACUCUCCAUUCUCCUCAUUCUAAUAAAGCAACAAGUACUCCAUUUGUAUCAUAAAACUAGCUCAUUCAAAAAAACCUAGAAUACUAUGACCAGAGGAGGGAGAAUGAAGUCGCUAACCGGUCUAGCGAAGAAGCUGGUCGAGUGAAGAAAAACGAAGCCCAAGCAAAUGGUUGAGC
rnacentral:lncRNA from 1 species